UACGUAGGUGACAAGCGUUGUCCGGAUUUACUGGGCGUAAAGAGCGCGCAGGCGGUCGAUCAAGUCGAGUGUGAAAGCCCCCGGCUCAACUGGGGAGGGUCAUUCGAUACUGAUCGACUCGAAGGCAGGAGAGGGUAGUGGAAUUCCCGGUGUAGUGGUGAAAUGCGUAGAUAUCGGGAGAACACCAGUGGCGAAGGCGACUACCUGGCCUGUUCUUGACGCUGAGGCGCGAAAGCUAAGGGGAGCAAACGGGG
rnacentral:rRNA from 1 species